GUUACGGCGGCCAUAGCGUCAGGGAAACGCCCGGACACAUUCCGAACCCGGAAGCUAAGACUGACAGCGCCAAUGGUACUGCGAGGGGGACCUCGUGGGAGAGUAGGACACCGCCGGACAC
rnacentral:rRNA from 1 species